rnacentral:lncRNA from 1 species
UGGGGUAUAGAAAUAUGGUCACUUGGUCUUCUCCCGACCGGCAGUAAAAAGCUUGCCGAAGUGGGGCGUCCGUUUGGCUGUGCGGUAUGUAUCAAGUUCGCAGUCACGUCCGGUCAGAAGGGAGACGUUAAAUCCGAUACAUAGUGUAAAGAGAGUGCCACGCUCAUUGCACGUUUAGAACCUUUGCAACAACUCUUUGAGGGGUCUGUAGGUGGCCUGUUGCAAGGCAAAAUUUCUGUCCCUAUCCAAUAUACC